rnacentral:rRNA from 1 species
AGAGCGAACGCUGGCGGCAGGCCUAAUACAUGCAAGUCGAACGGACCCUUCGGGGUUAGUGGCGGACGGGUGAGUAACACGUGGGAACGUGCCCUUUGGUUCGGAACAACUCAGGGAAACUUGAGCUAAUACCGAAUGUGCCCCAUCCUUAAACAAGAUGGGUGGAAAGAUUUAUCGCCAUUGGAGCGGCCCGCGUCUGAUUAGCUAGUUGGUGAGGUAAAGGCUCACCAAGGCGACGAUCAGUAGCUGGUCUGAGAGGAUGAUCAGCCACACUGGGACUGAGACACGGCCCAGACUCCUACGGGAGGCAGCAGUAGGGAAUCUUGCGCAAUGGGCGAAAGCCUGACGCAGCCAUGCCGCGUGAAUGAUGAAGGUCUUAGGAUUGUAAAAUUCUUUCAGCGGGGACGAUAAUGACGGUACCGCAGAAGAAGCCCGGCUAACUUCGUGCCAGCAGCCGC